UACUUUGGUCUUGUAAACCAAAAAUGAAGCUACGGACUUCUUAGAGCA
rnacentral:tRNA from 1 species